AGUUUGAUCCUGGCUCAGAUUGAACGCUGGCGGCAGGCCUAACACAUGCAAGUCGAACGGAAACAUGUCUAGCUUGCUAGAUGAUGUCGAGUGGCGGACGGGUGAGUAAUACUUAGGAAUAUGCCUUUGGGUGGGGGAUAACUAUUGGAAACGAUAGCUAAUACCGCAUAACGUCUACGGACCAAAGGGGGGAGCUUGCUCCUCUCGCCCAGAGAGUAGCCUAAGCGAGAUUAGCUAGUUGGUGUGGUAAAGGCUCACCAAGGCGACGAUCUCUAGCUGUUCUGAGAGGAAGAUCAGCCACACUGGAACUGAGACACGGUCCAGACUCCUACGGGAGGCAGCAGUGGGGAAUAUUGCACAAUGGAGGAAACUCUGAUGCAGCCAUGCCGCGUGUGUGAAGAAGGCCUUCGGGUUGUAAAGCACUUUCAGUUGUGAGGAAAGGAUGGCGGUUAAUACCCGUUAUCUGUGACGUUAGCAACAGAAGAAGGACCGGCUAACUCCGUGCCAGCAGCCGCGGUAAUACGGAGGGUCCGAGCGUUAAUCGGAAUUACUGGGCGUAAAGCGCACGCAGGCGGUUUGUUAAGCUAGAUGUGAAAGCCCCGGGCUCAACCUGGGAAUAGCAUUUAGAACUGGCAGACUAGAGUCUUGGAGAGGGGAGUGGAAUUCCAGGUGUAGCGGUGAAAUGCGUAGAUAUCUGGAGGAACAUCAGUGGCGAAGGCGACUCCCUGGCCAAAGACUGACGCUCAUGUGCGAAAGUGUGGGUAGCGAACAGGAUUAGAUACCCUGGUAGUCCACACCGUAAACGCUGUCUACUAGCUGUUUGUGGGUUUAACCCGUGAGUAGCGUAGCUAACGCGAUAAGUAGACCGCCUGGGGAGUACGGCCGCAAGGUUAAAACUCAAAUGAAUUGACGGGGGCCCGCACAAGCGGUGGAGCAUGUGGUUUAAUUCGAUGCAACGCGAAGAACCUUACCUACUCUUGACAUACUAGAAACUUUUCAGAGAUGAAUUGGUGCCUUCGGGAAUCUAGAUACAGGUGCUGCAUGGCUGUCGUCAGCUCGUG
rnacentral:rRNA from 1 species